UUUAUGUGUGGGCCAAGAUAAUAAUUCUUCCAGUAUGGCCCAGGGAAGCCAAAAGAUUGGACACUCUGCUUUAGAUAAUAUAAUUUUUUAUCUGUUUCUCAUGUAGAAUAUAUAUUAUGAGCAUUUUCCCAUGUUGUAAAUGUUUUUAAUAACAUAUAAGGAAAAUCUUAUACUUCUGGUUAUAUCCCUGUUAAUGAUCUUUAUACAAAAUAUUUUUAUUACAUUUCAUUUUGGGUUACCAACCUUUUGAGUUCCUUCUUAACAAAAAGCUUCUGGGUAAGUAGGCAGUUGAGAGCAGAACAGUAGCUCUUAACUGGAAUGGUGAGAACUCUU
rnacentral:lncRNA from 1 species